AAAAGCGGUUAAAUACUAAUAUACCCGUACAAAAUCUACUAAACUACAACCAAACCUAAGCUAAACCCUCUAACAUAAUCCAAGCGUUUUCUUUUUCCCCUUUAGAGUCCAACACAUACCAUGUUCUCCUUCUUUCUUCACUUUCCCCUUUCUCUUUAAAUCUCUAAUCGACGAUCCUUUCUCUUCCUUGUUCGAAAUCAAGUCCGACGAAUCACAUCUCUCUUACUGUUGGGAUGUCUCACCGUCGACAGAAGGCUUCAAUUUCGUGUCUCUUCCUUGUUGAAAAUCUUUUGUUUCCAUCUUCUUCAGUCUCGAAAAAUCCGGAUUGGAUGGGAAUCUGUAGUAAAAAUGGGAUUAGACACACAAGAACUGUUCUUCUACAAAAAUUUUCUGUAUUGAAACCCUCUCGUUCUGAUCGUAAGUCUUUGUCUUAUCAGUAAGUCAGAACCCUUAACAUGUCUUGUUUCCUCUAAUAUAUAUUCUAUUACGUUUAGACAAUUAUGGUUUGGUUAUGUGGUGUUAACUUGUGGGUGUUUUCUCGGACCGGAGUCUAUUAUGCAGCAAUAUUUUAUCUAAGACCAGAUCAUCUUAGUCACAAAGAGAUAUGGAAGGUGGAUGAUGACGAUAAUGUUGACUAGCAUGACUGCGUAUAUGUAUCUAUACUCGCAUGGAGAUGUAUCCUUGGCUGCAUCUCAACCAGUGUAGUAGAUGCAUCUUCUCUUAUUUUAGAGAGCUUUUUGAUUCAUUUUUGUUCAUAGAAUUUGAUAUGUUAUUAAAAAUGUUUUCAGAUUGUUUUGUAUCUCUCUCGCUACUACUUGCUAUGGACUUUUUGGCGCAUUCUCCUCUCUAUAUGUUUUGAAUGUAGUUUAUGAACAACAACAAAGUUUUUGUGUAGGUUCUUAUGUCGUAUGGUCCAUCAACAGGUAGUUAUUGUUGCAUGAACAAAAGGAAGAUGGAUUUAGGAGAAUUAACAUAAUUCUCAUAAGACUAGGAAUCUCCAAUAUGAGUAUAAAUAUAAGGCAUCCUCGAAGACGUUAAGCAUCCGAUUAAAAAGGGAGAAGAGCAAUAAGAGAUCGACAGAGACCAAGACAAUUAGCAAUUAGAAAGAGUGUUUUAUUGCUUUGUCUUGUGAUAUUUAUAGUUUGUUCUUGAGAAACCUACUGGUAGUGAAUAAAGGGAAGGAUAAGUUUUGGUAUCAAAUUUAUUCAACUUUCUAUA